rnacentral:rRNA from 1 species
CACGGUCUCCCGCAGGGACGCCAGUACAGGUGGUGCAUGGCUGUCGUCAGCUCGUGUCGUGAGAUGUUGAGUUAAGUCCCGCAACGAGCGCAACCCUUACCCUUAGUUGUUUUCCCGAAAGGAUUACCCUCUAAGGGGACUGCCCCGGACAACGGGGAGGAAGUGGGGAUGACGUCAAGUCCGCAUGCUCCUUACGUCUAGGGCUACACACGUCCUACAAUGGGGUCGACAGUGGGAUGCAAAGCCGCGAGGUGGAGCCAAUCCCCAAACGGCCUCUCAGUUCGGAUAGUAGUCUGCAACUCGACUACUUGAAGUCGGAAUCGCUAGUAAUCGUGGAUCAGAAUGUCACGGUGAAUACGUUCCCGGGUCUU